AUUGAACACUGGCGGCAGGCUUAACACAUGCAAGUCGAGCGGUAGCACAGGGGAGCUUGCUCCCUGGGUGACGAGCGGCGGACGGGUGAGUAAUGUCUGGGAAACUGCCUGAUGGCGGGGGAUAACUACUGGAAACGGUAGCUAAUACCGCAUAACGUCGCAAGACGAAAGAGGGGGACCUUCGGGCCUCUUGCCAUCAGAUGUGCCCAGAUGGGAUUAGCUAGUAGGUGGGGUAAUGGCUCACCUAGGCGACGAUCUCUAGCUGGUCUGAGAGGAUGACCAGCCACACUGGAACUGAGACACGGUCCAGACUCCUACGGGAGGCAGCAGUGGGGAAUAUUGGACAAUGGGCGCAAGCCUGAUGCAGCCAUGCCGCGUGUGUGAAGAAGGCCUUCGGGUUGUAAAGCACUUUCAGCGGGGAGGAAGGUGGUGAGCUUAAUACGUUCAUCAAUUGACGUUACUCGCAGAAGAAGCACCGGCUAACUCCGUG
rnacentral:rRNA from 1 species